rnacentral:rRNA from 1 species
UACGGGGGGGCAAGCGUUGUUCGGAAUUACUGGGCGUAAAGGGCUCGUAGGCGGCCAACUAAGUCAGACGUGAAAUCCCCAGGCUCAACCUGGGAACUGCGUCUGAUACUGGUUGGCUUGAAUCCGGGAGAGGGAUGCAGAAUUCCAGGUGUAGCGGUGAAAUGCGUAGAUAUCUGGAGGAAUACCGGUGGCGAAGGCGGCAUCCUGGACCGGCAUUGACGCUGAGGAGCGAAAGCCAGGGGAGCAAACGGG